rnacentral:lncRNA from 1 species
CUAAGUUUGCUCGAACGAUCUUAAAACAGAACAAAAUCACGGCAGCUCAAAAUUACUCGCGAAGCUCGACAAAAACACAUCAAUUUCGCGGUCUGAACUUCGAACUAGAUCUCAGCGUUCGAACUCCAAAUGUAAAAAACUGUUUUAACCAAUGAAAAUUUGCUUUCCCCAUCCCCCCACCAGUCACCACACAGAAACACACAGAACGGAACAAAUCCAAGUCAAACUUACUUCCAGCCGCCGAGCUGCAAUCAGUCACAAAUUUGAGGUCCCCGCUCUUUCCUCAGCUUGCUAAAUUGAGGAGGAGAAAAAGAAAACAAAGAGUUUGUAUCACGGAUUGAAGAUUCCAGAAGAGUCUCCACCAGUACAACGAAUUCGAAAACUGCGUCGAAACAAUAUCCACCAGAAUUCACGGAAUCAGCGCUUAUAAAAGCAAAAUUGUGGAAAGAGAGAGAGAAGACCGCGUGUGGUGUGUGAGAGAGGAGAGAGGGAGAGACGGGGGGGAAAUCGACAGAGAAACGGAGGGUCCAUGAUAAGAAUAGAUACUAUAUAUAUAUACGUGCAGCUUGUGAAGGAGAUCAUGACUGCUCUCCCUAAUAAUUAUAUUAAUUUGGAAAAGUAAAUGAAGAACGUGGAGUGGCGAUCGGCCGUUGAUGUGGCCGACCGGCGGUCUGAGAUGAUCCCAACCGUUGAUAUUUUCCCCUUGCCUGUCCCCAGCUGAUUCCAUGGUGUUUUUAUGCAACGGUAAAAAAGUGAUUCGCAUCUUAUUUUAUUUUUUUUGCUGUUUCUUAAGUUAGUUAUGUGUGGUGGGAAAUUCAAAUUUUUUUGGUUGGGUAUUGAGAAAAUACUAUAUAGUAUCUAUUUUUCAACAUGAUAGUUUUUCCAAGUGGUAUGUCUUUUUGCAUAUUUUGUGUAUUUAGGUGAAUUUUAAUUUUAUUAAUAUCUAGAACUCUUCUUUUAGCACGAUAAAUUAUAAAUUUAUUUAUACGUGUGAGAAUCGACUAACGAACUAUUAUCAAUUACACUUGAAAAAAAUUAAGUGUGACAUACUCACUAAUCAAAAAAGUUGAUAAUCACCACUAGAUCAUCCUCAAAUAAAUAAUAUUCAAAACAAUUCAAUUCUCAAUUUCUUUCUAUUCCAACUUAAAAUUACCAAUCCGAUGAUUGUUACAUAAAACUUACCGAUCACUUAGUUCAUUUACAUGUACAAUUUAUUAAUUUGCAUUCAAAUAAAUGAGCCCUCGAUUUUUUAACGUGCUUUGAAUUGUGUCCCACGCCAACGGUAGUUUACGUAUUGCAUUUAGUAUAAAUGAGAUUAGUUAUUUUUGUUUGCAAUUUGAGACGAGGUAAUAAAUUAGAUGUUAUAUAAAAAUACAAGUAUUUAGUGGGUUUUCUAUAACAAAAUCUUAAAUUUUACUUGAAAUGUAAUGAAGGUUAUAGUGGUCGUGUUGCGUCCCUUGUGGGUAAUUAUUAUUGGUUUUUGCCUUUUGGAGAGCUAUGUUGAAAAAGGAAGCAACCAAAGUCCCAUUAUGUUUUGUCGUUUUCUUUCAUUGCAGUUCAAGAUUCUUGUCUGGUAUAACUAUGCUUUCUCGUGUUCAAUUGAAAUUUGGAAAUGCACCUGAACUUAUUUGAUGAAAUCUUGGAAUUUAGGGAUCAAAUCAAAUAGUAUUCAUAAUUUGUGGUUAUCUAUAAUGGAGUAAUUGAUAUAGCUAUCCUAAACAUUAUGUGGUUAUUUUUCUAAUACUAUCUAAUAAGAGAUAUCUUAUGAUAUUUUUCCUAUAAAUGAAGACAUGAAUCUCACAUAAUGCUAUUAGCCUAUUAAUUAUUAUACAAGUUGUAUCAAAUGGUCUAACUAGCUCAAGUAUGACAAAGUGUAAUUAUAUCAACUUCAAGCUCGAUCGUAUCCAAUUAUUGCAUAUCGUGUCUAUGAUUUUCUACCUCUAAUACUCUCUCGUCGUAAAAAUGGACGAGUACGUAAAAUGAGAAAAAAUUAAUAAUUGAGUAAUUUUAAUUAAUAUUUUAAAAUUCAUGUGUAAAAUGAGAAUUUGUUGAAAAUUUGAUAAUUUACAUGUAAUUAAUCUUUUAAAAUAAUUCCAAUUUUCAAUAUUAUAUUAUGUACAUAACAUGUCCUGAAAUUAUAACUAGAAUCAAUAUGUAGAACUUGAGAUCCAAAACACCUUUCAUAUGACAUGCAUAUCUAGAUUUAUCACGUUGGCCAGGCAAGUCAACUGCAAUUAUUUGGCUAAUUACUAAUGUUUGUUGGUUAGCAGCUAAUGACUAAUUUUGACAUAGCACAUAGGUAGAUGCGGUUUCUUGUGUCUAAAGUACUCCGAAAAAAAAAAUAACAAAUAAAAUUACGAACUAUUUUGAAUUUAUAAUCUUAACGUAAUUUUGAAAUGUGGCGAAUUAUUAGCACAAUUUCAAUUUUUACAAUUUGUUCCCCGCCCCUCCAAUUUUUUUUGGUCACCAUAGUGUUGAGCUAAAAAGCUUACGUGAAUUAAUAAAAACAACAUCAUUUUUGUGAGGCCUAAACGACGUCGUUUCGUAUAAUUUCAAUUAAAAAUUUCUUCAAAUUAUAAACUAUAUCCUAUAUUUGCACCAUAAUUUUCAAUAUUAAGCAAUUUUAUUGCAAACGACGUCGUAGCAUGAAUAUUACGUGGAUAACUAAUCCACGUAAACUCCAACUCAAUAAUUUGACGACCGAAAAAAAUGGGAGACGAAAUUGUAAAAAUUGGAAAGGUGGUGAUUUAAUUCGGCACGUUUCAAAAAUCACGUCAAAAUUACAAAUUCAAAAUAAUUCACGAUUUUAUUUCUAAACCCCCCAAAAAAAGAAAAAAAAUAUAGUAAAAGUUUUAUACCAUCUCAUUGAUUAUGUAAUAUAACAAUUGAAUCUAUCAUUUUUAUGAAAACAUGAGAAAAAGUUGUUAAAUUUUAAAUAUUGUUGAUCCAAUCGUCGCACAACCGUUAAACUUAUAUAUAAUACACAUACAUGUAUAAAUUCAAUUACAUGAUAAAAGAAGUUCAUCGUAUUAUAAUUUAUUCUAUAUAUGUCCGCAAUUUUAUAUAAUUAAAGUCUGGUUUCUUAUAAUGUUAAUGUUGUUCAACGUUCCAUUUUGGUGUUCGUGAAUAAAUAUUGGAUCAGACCCUCUGAUUUUAAUUUUCGUUGUUGAAAGCUGAUUUAAAAUAGGUAGUUAACUUAAUUUGGCCAACAUUUAAUAAGUUAUCAUCACGACUACUCAAAAUAAAUAAAAAUGGGGCCACCUUCAAUGAAUUUGUGAUGAGGCCUGUGUGACAUUGAUGUAUUAAAGGAGUAGUCAAUUUGUGUGGGAACUCUUUCAGUAAAAAGACAAAUCGGAUUUUUUGAAUUCUAUUGAGAAGGCAUCUAUAUAAUUUGAGCAUUGCCACUGCUCUUAUCAGUUUCGUGUACAAAUUGGACAUGAUCCCUCAAUUUAUGAUCACAUCACAUGUGCAUUCUAUUGAUUAUAUAUUCUUUCCGUAUACAAAAAAUUAAAUCUAAGUUUAAGAUUGAAAAAAAAACUAUCGAUCAAGUAUAACUCGAGUGGUAAAGUUGGAGCACCUAAAAACUUUACUUUGUGAAAGGUUUUGGAUUCAAUCCAAUCGAACCCACGCCCAACCCGAUUCGGUCCGCCCAAGAUAAGGGCAAUAUAGUUCGAAAUUACAAAAAAUGACCAAAAUUUGUGUUUUUAAGAUGGAAGGUCAAAUAUUGAGUUUCAAUUCCUAAUAUGGCUAUAUGACUAUAUGCGUGCGUAUUCUAAAAAAAAUUUGUGAUGUCAUAGUUAAAUGUUGCAUGCACCAAAAUAUUUUAGUAGUGGUAUUAUAAACUAUUGAAAGAUUUAUAAAUGUCAUUAAAUAAUAGUACUUCAUUUGUCCAUAAUAUCGUUGCCACAUUUAUCAUUUUGGCUCGUAUACAAUAUCUUUGUUACUUUCAUUUACAGUAGUAGGAUCCACAAACUUCAUUCACAAUAAUAGUGAAACUCACUUACUCAUAACUAUACUCACUAUUACUAUAUUAUCCACUAUUUUUCUUAAAACUCAUGCCGUACACAAAAGUGACAACGAUAUAAUAGACGGAGGAAGUAGUAUUAUGAUAUUUUAAGGUGUACAAAAAUUCGUAACAUAUAAUGGUAUUGCUAAUUUUGUGUCAUGUGAAUGUAUAAUUAUUAUUAUUGGGAAAAAAAAUAAAUUUAUCAGUAAUUAAAGUAAUACUAUAAUAAAAUUUGCAUGUGUAUGUUUUGUAUGAAGAGACAGAGCAAAAAUAUUUUUUUGAUAGUCUUAGGCGUAGCAAAUUUAGUUACAUAGAUUGAUGUACCAAAUUUUUAUUACAUUUAUAAAUAUAGCAAAAUUUAUUUAUAUUUAUAUAUAUAACAAAAGUAUAAAAUACAUAUAAAUAGCUAAAUUUUGUUAUAUCUAAAAAUAUACUAACAAAUUUUGUGAAACAUAUCUCCUGGUGUUAUUAAAAUUGUUUAAUAGUAUUAUUAUUAUUAUUAUAAUUAUUAAAAUUUCAUACUAAAAUUAAAAUGAAUUCUCAAUUAUGAAUUAUCCAUGACAAUAAAUUUAAUGUUCAUCAUCUAGUUCAUAUUAUGCGUAUAUAAGCAGAGUUGCUUUUCUGUCGUUGUAUGAAAGUUGGUAUCAACAAGACCACGUGGUUCAAUUUGUCAUGUUAUUGAUGAUUAAGUUGAUUAGAUAUUAGGAAAUGGAAACGCUAGUAAUUUUUAUAGAAAAUUAAAAUAUUAUAUGGGAUCCAUUGCCCAGUUGUCUUAUUUGCAGACAGUUCAGGUGACUUUAUAGGUUAAUAUUAUCUUUAUCGUGCAUUUAAGAUCUGAAAUAUCAGUCCAGAAUAAAAUAUAUGUAUAUCAAGAUAUAGCAUGAUUUUUGGGUAAAUAAUGUGUGGUGUCAAUUUAUGGGGUUUUUUUCAAUAAUAAAUAGCAAUUCAAUUAAUUAAUACAAUGUUUAUCUUCUAAUUAUUAGGUUGUAAUUCAAGUUAUCAUAUAACAAAAAAUAGAAAAUUAAUUUUCAAGAUAUUUUCUAGUUUUACUAAUAAAUAAUAAUAUAUAUAUAUAUAUAUAUAUAUAUAUAUAUAUAGAGUUAGUUUAUGAAGCAAUUAUCACUGCAAAGAAUAAUAUUGAAAAAAAAUUACAAUAAAUUGUAUUAACUAAUAUAUUUCAAAAUACUACAUCAACAAUGAUAGUUCAAACUAUUAUUAAAUCAAACUAUUAACUAAUAUAUUUCAAAGUGUACGAAUAAUGCAUACUUUUCAAUCAUUCAUACUCCUUAAAUGGAUUAAAUAUCCUAAAAUUAUUAUUAUUAAAUCAAUCCCAUAAUUUUAAAAAUUAAUUAAAUUUAACAAAAUAGCCAACACUCAAUUUAAUAAUUUUGGCAUUUAUAAAAUAAAAUUAACAAGUUAUAUUGAACAAUAUAAUUUUGGGCUCUUAAAAAUUUAAACUAUAUUAUAUGAUAGUAUAAUAGUAAAAAUAUAUAAGUUUAUAAGUAGUAUGAUAGUCUAUUAUAUAUUUUUACUACUUAUAAUAUCAUAUUCACCUCAAAAAAUAUUAGUAUGAUAGUCUAUUCAUUUGUAAUCAAUACAUAAAAGUAUAUAUUUGCACCUCAAAAAUUUAAUUUAAAAUAUUAAUUGACAUAUCAUAUUUUGAUAUAGGUGAGGAAGUACAAUUCCGCUCCGGAACUUCUGCUCUGGGGCUCAUCUCUGAAUCUUCAGCUCUGGAAUGAUAGCUCUGGAGUGAUGACUCUUGGAGCGAUAACUAUACAGCUCUGGAGUUUUCAGCACACAUAAAGACUCUGGAAACUCAGCUCUGGAAAGUCAGCUCGGGAGUAUCAGCUUUGGAGCACGGAACCUCGCUGCUCUGGCACGGGACCUCGCUGCUCAGGCACGGGACUCCGCUGCUCUGGCAUCGGGACUUCGCUGCUCUGGAACGGGAUUACGCUGCACUGUCAUCGGACUUCGCUGCANGGAAACUCAGCUCUGGAAAGUCAGCUCGGGAGUAUCAGCUUUGGAGCACGGAACCUCGCUGCUCUGGCACGGGACCUCGCUGCUCAGGCACGGGACUCCGCUGCUCUGGCAUCGGGACUUCGCUGCUCUGGAACGGGAUUACGCUGCACUGUCAUCGGACUUCGCUGCACUGGCAAGGGACUUCGCUGCUCUGGCACGGGACUCCGCUGCUCUGGCACGGGAGUUCGCAGAAAAGACCACUUAGCAAUUCGAGUUCCACAUCCCAUUUCUCAUAACUCUGUUCAAUACAUUCCUGAAAGAAUUCAAAUUUCGCAAUCAUCUGUAUCUCCAUUUCCCAUGCCAUGCAUUCUCUAGUUAAUAUUAAUAAUAAGUAAACAUCCUCUCGAAGUAAGUCUGCGCACUAGAAUUACACUUCCCACAAUACAAGAUGAAAGGCUUUCGGCUAAGCUUAAGUGAUGGUCGAACAACGGGCAUUAUAAUUUAUAGCAUAAACAAUAAAUGAAGAUGAAGGUAUGAGGGAACUAUACAAUAACAGAGAUGCCACUCCAGAGCAAUAGCGCAACAAAAUCUUUACAUGUAAUCCAAGAUUGUUUGCAGAAUAUGGAGAAACGAAACAAUAUUUAGAGUAAAAAGGGAGAGUUGAAUGAAGGUAGCAAAAAUGUAGGGUCCUAGACAACGGAGUAUCGGCCAGGUUGCGCUGAACCUGGUAGCGAUGAAGCUUGAUUUGUAAUCUCCUCCAAGACCCGCUUGAGAUCCGCCUUGGCCCUCUUGACUGAUUGCUCGUCGGGCCCUCAAUGAACAAGUAAAGCUUCCUCUCUCCCGGUCCUGCAAUCUUCCCCGGUGGGUAGUACUGACCUCGAGUCGUGAUGGCUGCUCCUGUCCAUUCCGAUAUCGGACCCAGCGUUUCCUUGUGCGUCACCUUCCAACGAGCAUUUUGAGGGAAAUCAUUUAUUUCCAAUUCUGCUUCAUAGUGUUCAGGCAUAGCAUCAGCCUGAAUCUUUGCCAAGUUAUGCUGCAAAUUCAUCAGCGCUGCCAGAGCCGCUGCCUUGGCUGCUGCGUCGUUGCCACCUGUUUGCAUUCCACCUCCAGGGACUACCGCUGAUGCCACCCCGCCACCAUUUUGAAUGAGCUGCCCGGAUGUCAUGGGUGCCGUCACUGAAGCAGCAGCCGCACUUGCUUUGGUAGCAGAAGCCAAAGCUUGAGCAAGUGCUGCUUGGUGAGAAAUGUCACCACCUGCUUUUCUAAUUCCUUCGUCUUCAUCUUCUGAAUCUGAUUUAUCCUCCUCAAACCCAUACUCCCUUCGCCUGAGCUUUCUUCGCGGCUCUCCUGACUUCGUCCUCCUCUUCAUUAAAUUUGAAACCACUGCCACCGUAACCAGUCCCGUGGGCUUGCUCAAGCCCUUGAUUCACCUUGGCCAUGAAGCCAUCAGCUAAGGCCUUGAGGUCUUCUGGAACACUCUGUUCCGAUAAUUCUAAGGCUUUAACGAGAUCUGGUCCGUAUCUUGCAUCCUCCUCUGAGAUGAAUGUGAUAGCACAUCCCUUUUUACCAGCUCGGCCAGUUCUACCAACGCGAUGGACGUAGUCCUCAUAAUGGUUAGGGACAUCAAAAUUAACGACUAGUUCAAGAUCUUUGACAUCUAAACCUCUAGCAGCAAUACUUGUAGCAAUCAAUAUAUUGCAGACAUUACUCUUAAAAUCAGCUAAUGUGGAUUCACGGUCUGUUUGAUCCUUUCCCCGUGAAGUGAUACACACGGAUAUCCGAUUUAAGCAAAUCCUUAAACAGUGCAUCACACUUCUCUUGUGUAUGGACAAAAAUCAGUAUCUUUCCCUUCUCAUACCAUUCUCCAAGUAGUUCUAAGAGUCUAGGAACCUAUCACUUUCAGGUCUUACCUCAACUAGUUGGGUAAUGUCCUUGUUCACAACACUCCUACCACCUACCUGAAGUUCAACAGGUUUAUUCAAUACUUUACGUGCCAAAAUCUCAACUUGGCGAGGGAAAGUCGCAGAAAAUAGCACAGUUUGGCGAUCAGGUCUUGUAUUUUGGACGAUUCUCGUGAUUUGAGGUUCAAAACCCAUAUCAAACAUCCGAUCAGCUUCAUCCAUGACCAAGUAAGUAACACGACGCAGAUUUGUAAUUUUCCACCACUAGUACAUAAUAUAUCAAUCAUUCUACCUGGGGUGCAAACAACAACUCAGUCCCUCGCUUCAAUUCACUGAUCUGCUGAGCAACCCCAGAACCUCCAUAUACAGGCACACAGCUGAGACCCAAAACCUUUGUAAACUUCUUUAUAUCACUAUGGAUUUGCUGAACAAGCUCUCUUGUGGGAGCCAUAAUAAGCCCAAUGGGCCCAUCACCUGACAUCAAAGGAGGCUGAUCCUUAAUGUGUCGCAACAUGGGCAGGACAAAUGCUAAGGUUUUGCCAGAUCCUGUUUUUGCAAUACCAAUGCAGUCCCGACCACUCAUAAUUACGGGCAAGGCUUGCGCUUGAAUCGGCAUUGGCUUCUCAUAAUUAAGCUUCUUAAUAGUAUCCAAAAUUUUCGUGGCCUAACCCUGUUUGGUGCCAGGUUUUUGACUGGUUUAGGUACAUCCUUUCCAUGUAUCUUCAAUUCCAGUUGUUUCCUAUGCGCAGCCACUUCCUCAGAUGUCAUCCUGGAAAUUUCCUUCACUUCAGUGUAGAAAUUCUUGCGGAAGGAAGGAUAAUCAAUUUUUGAAUGGUCAACUAUUGAAAGCUUCUCCACCUUGGUCUUCUUCACCCGUUUCAUGAAUUCUUCAUCAUCUUCCUCCUCCAAAGGAUCUUCCUCAUUUUCAAUUUCUCCAUAGUCCGAAUCAGAGUUAUCUCCAGGAAUAAUUCUUCCCAUAGAUUUGCUCUUCCCCCUUUUAGUGUUCUCUGAGUUUAUUUUACCAUUUCUUUCAACUAAUUCAGGACCAGAGUCAUUUGAAGUCGGAGGCACAACAUUGUUUAGUACCAUAGAAUUCAUAAACGCAUCUAAGGGGUCAAUUUCUUCAUCAUCAACAGCAUUAUCUCCAACACUUUGCGUGGUAGGAGCUGCCUCAUUCACAGAGUCUAUAGACAUGCCAUUUCCAUCCUCUCCAACGGGCUUCACAGUUCCAUCCUCAUCCUCAUCCACAUCCAUUGUUUCUCUUUCCUGAGGACCAGCUUCUUCAUCAUCAGAUUCCCCUUCCAGUGUCCAAGUUUUGCCAGAUUCAGGUUCAUGAGUAACAGGCACCCCAAGUUUUUCUAUCUCGGAUUCCUCUUUCUUCCUUCUCAGCUCUUGCCACUCCUGAACUCUCCUUCUCCUUUUUUCCAUCUCAUCGUCCAAUCGCUGUUGCUCUUCAGCUAAAUCUCCUCCCCAACUCUUUUCUUUCUUAUCUUCUGAAUCUCCGUCUCCCUUCUUCCGUGAACUAUUGUCUUCGCUGCCAUCCCUAUGCCGGUUGGCCUUACUAUUUUGUUCUGAAUCCCUGGUUUGAUGAUCCUCCUCUUUCUUGCGCUUUUUUCUCUCAUGGUCUUUAACAUCCUCAUCACUACUGUGUGACCUAUCCCUGUCUCGACGUUUUUCCUUUUCAUGUUUCCUCUCUCUCUCCUUCCUUUCUCUCUCUCUGUCCCUAGCUCUUUCCCUUCUCUCCCUCUCCCUUUCCCUUUCUCGCUCCACAUGCCUCUCCCGCUCCCUCUCUCUUUCUUUAUCCCGCCCUCUAUCUCUAUCCCUUCCCCUUUCCUUCUCUUUUUCCCUGUCUUCCCGAUCUCUAUCUACCUCUCUAUCAUCCUUGUCCUUUUCUCUGCCUUUAGCCUUGUCUCUAGGCCUCUCAUCAUCAUGGUUCCUGGCUCUCUCCUGCUCUUGUUCCUUGUCACGACGCUUCAACUUGUGUUUUUCUCUGUCCCUGUGCUUGUCAUCAACACUCUUUUCUCUCUCGUGGCGACUAUCGCGGUCCCUGUCCUUGUGCCUCUCACCAUUCCUCUCUUUUUCACGCUUUCGAUCCUCUCUAUGGUGACUUACUUUCACUUCCUCAUUUUCAGAGCCCUCCCUCCUAGACUUGCUUUUAGGUUCUUCCAUGGAUCCGGUCAAUAUGAAAAUGGUGGCAGUCUAUCUCUAAGCUCUCUAGAGACUGGCUUACGCCUCAAUGGCAAAAGCUUACCUUGUCCUCCUUUCGUAUUCCUGUAAGAAGCGACAAAUUGAGUGAAAUCAGGUGUUCACCGGCGAAGAACACGCUGGUGGCUAUUUGGAGUAGAGAGGGUCGUCAGACGCCGUGAAAUUGGAGGGAGCUGGUUAAUUGGUCCAAUUGGGUGAGAAUAGAGAGAGAGAGGAGAAAGACAGAGAGGGAGACGCCGAUAGGAGUCGGCGGCGGCCGGCAGCGAAUUCGCCGGACAAGAAGGCGGCAGCUGCGACUGCAGAUUCAGAGCGAUGGAGCGUGAAUUUGAGAGAGAGAAUGUGAAAAGAAAAUAGUGAUGGAACGUGAAUUUUAGGGAGAAAGGAAUUGGGUUCCAGUUAUGGGCUAAGCCUUUAAUUCAGUAAUGGGCUGAAUUUUGUUUAGUUGGACUAUGAUUUAUUUAAUUUAAACUCAUGUUGGGGCUUUUGAUUUUAAUGAGUCCCUAAGCAUUAAAUUAUUUUCAAAUACAUUUAUGUACAAAAACACACUUAAUAGAUGAUUCUAAAAACUUUCAAUUUUUUUCACUGUAAUCCUUCAUUUGAGAAUAAAAAAGAAUAGAGUGCCACUUAAACUAUUCUAUUCUAUUUAUCAUUCCAUAAUUUAAAGUGGAGGCCCAAAACAAAAUAAAUAAAUAAGGCCCAAUCUCAUUUUCUCAUCAAACAUGUUCACGCUCCAUCUCCAUAUCAAAACACGCUACACAGAAAACUCACACACAUGGCUCAUCUCUCUCGCCCCACCUCUGGCCGACGUCGGCUGCCGCCUCGCCUAAUCCGGCGAGGCCGCCUGAGUCCCUCUCAUCUUCUCUUAUUCUACUCCCUUACCAAUUUCUGUAUUCGUGAAUCACCAAGCCGAGCUUUAGUUUUUCCCCUAAAAUUUAAAUUACGGCCAGUUCCAGCCCUCUCAUCCGUCCGAUUCUGCUACCGGCGCCGCGUUGCCUACUUCUCCGGCAAUUGGCGGUCGCCUAUCUGUUGGCCCCGCCGUUCUAAGCAUCACAUUCCCCCUCAUCUCUCAAUUCCACGCUCGAGGGGAAAAAAAGGGGCGAGCCCUAAUCGUCUCUUUCUCUGCUUGAAUCCGGCGAUGUCACCGUUCCAAGGUGGAGACGUUCAGUUCCGUCUCUAAGCCUCACGUUCUUAGGAGUAAUGAUUCUUAAUUUGGUGAGGUUUUUUAAUUUGCAAGAUUUGUUUGUAAGAUAUAAACCAUUUUAUUUGGUGAGAUUUUCAAUUUCUGAAAUUGAAUUGCUGAUUUUGAAUGUUCAAUUGUGGUUGAGCUUUGAAUUGAAAAAAAUGCAGAUUUUUUUCUUUUUUUCUUUCGUAAUGGUAUUCUUUUUGGUCUUGAAUUUUUUUUCCUGAUUUUGAAUGUUCAAAAUUUCUUUGAAUGCAGAUUUUCGAAUGUUCAAUUUCUUUCAUUUUGAAUGCAGAUUUUGAAUGUUCAAUUUCUUUCUGAUUUUCAAUUGUGGUUGUUCAUUUUUUUUUCCUGAUUUUGAAUGUUCAAUUUCUUUCAUUUUUUCAACGUUCAAUUGUGGUUGAAACCUUUUGCUAUUUGUCUAAUUAGAACUAAAUUGUGGUUGAAACCUUUUGCUAUUUGUCUAAUUUGAACUAUGUUCUUGUUAGCUUUAAUUCUCCUCUAUUUAAUGUUAAACUUGUUGUCAACUUUUAAAGUAUCUGAAGUUUUUUUUACUAUUAGUUACCGAUUGAGCUUAUUUGUGGUUAGGCUUAAUUCUCCUAGUCAGAACUCCGUCUGCACUUCUCUGGAUCUCUGCUCUGAUCUGGAGGCCAGCUCAACUCUGGCGUCUUCUCUGCUCAGCUCAGAAGGUUGUUCUGCUCUGAAGGUCGGCCCUGCUGUGCCCUCUGGAGGUCGCCUCUACGCUGCUCUGGAGGUCCUCUGGAGCCCUGCUCUGCUCUGGAAAACUCCUCUGCUCUGGAGGACAGCUCUGCUCUGGAGGACUUCUCUGCCCUGGAAGUCUGCUCUGCUCUGGAGGACAGCUCUGCUCGGGAGGUGAUGUUUCUCCGCUGCUCUGCUCUGGAGAUUACACGCUGAUGUUGGACCGCUUUGGCUCUGGAGAACGGGCGUUGGCUGCUCUGGAGUUUCCUGCUCUGACGUUGCCUGCUCUGUCACUUUUGUGCUCUGGCUCGGCUGCUCUGCCCUGCUGCACAGCUAUGCCGGCUCUGGCUCUGGUCUGCCUGCUCUGCUCUGGAGCUUGCUCUUCUGUUUAUUUCUCUGGCUCCGCUGCUCUGCUCUGGAGCUCCCUAGUUUUGGCGGUGUCUGCUUUGGAGUCGACUGCUCUGGCGUUGUCUGCAAGAGUGCGCUUCUGCUCUGACUCCGCUUCUCUGGUGUUGGCUGCUCUGGGACUUUUGUACGCGGGCUCGGCUGCUCUGCUCUGCUGCACCACUCGGUGCAGCCUUCCCGCAGGAGUAGCUUGCUCUUCCUUUGUUGUUUUGGCUUUUGCGUUGUUUGCUCUCUCUUUUGGUUUGGAUUUUGUUGUUUUUUCCGUUUUUUUGGGCUUUCCUUUGAGGCCCCCUCCUUGUUUGCGCCUGUGCUCUCAAGGUUUUUUCAAUCUUCUUUUUUCAAUAAAAUUUUCAUUUCAGCAUCAUUCCCUUUUUAAGAAAAUCUCAUUUGCAAUCAUAGUUCGGUCACAGUUUCUCUUCUUUUGUAGGUUGCCAUAAGGAAUAUUAGAACAGGCGCCAUCAAAUCUUAUGAGAUAAGUAUCAUCAAAGCUAAGUAUUGAUUAUUGUUUUCUCAUAUCUUUGUUUGUUUAUGUUUUUUUCAUAUUUUUCUAGCAAAAAACAUGGUGCAGAUUUUGAGAGUUACAGAUAAGUAUUAGCAAAACUAAGUAUUGAUUAUUGUUUUAUCAUAUGUUUCUGUUUUCUUCGUAUUUCUAGCAAAAAAAUUACUGUUUUGGCAGCUAGGUAGCUUAUCUUAAUGUCUUUUGAUAAACUUAAAUAAAUAUGAUUUUGAAUUAUUUUAGUUUUUUUAAAAUAAAAAAUGUAUAAUUUUAAGUUGUGAUGAUUUACUUUGUUCUGUAUAGUUGAUACUCCCUCCGUCCACCAAUUAAAGCCCUACUUGCCCUUAAAUUUUUGUCCACCAAUUAAAGCCCUAUUGUGCUUUUUGUACCCUUUUACCCUCUCUCUUUACUUUAAAUUACUACCCUUUGUCUAAAAAAUUUAUUUUCCAGUUUUAAGUUUAUUUAUUUAUUUUCUGAAAAUUUUAAUUCCAGUUUAUUUAUUUUCUGAAUUUUUAGUUUAUUUAUUUUCGAAUUUUCAGUUUAUUUAUUUUUCAAUUUUCAGUUUAUUUAUUUAUUUUCUGAAAAUUUUAAACCAGUUGAUGUAUACAUUUAAUAAUUAUGUUUAGCUAUUUUCUGAUUAGAAGUGCAGAAAAUAAGGUAAAAACAAAUAUAAAAUAUGUAGUGUAAGAAACGCAAUAAAUAAGAAGAAAAAAAAGAAAUAAAAUAGAAAUAAUACUAAAGAAGUAAUAAAACAAUAAAGAAAACACAUAAAAUAGGAAGAAAAAAAGCUUAAGAUAUAGAAAAAAAAAUAAAAAAAAGAAUCUAAUGAUGUAGUAAAACAAAAAGAAACACAUAAAAUAGUUAUAUAAAGACAGAGCAAAAAGAUGCAGAAAUACAAAGCAAAAGAUACACAUAAAAUAGGUACAGAAACACAUAAAGAGAGAGAAGAAAUAAAAUGAUGUAAGAUGCUAUUAUAAACCAAAGUAUAGAUACAGAAAGUCAAAAAGAUGCAGAAAUUGAUGCAAGCUUUUAUGAAGAAAUGAAAAAACGAAAGCUAGAAGCUUAGAGAAAAGAAAUUAUAGACAUUCAAGCAAGAAUUUGCCAACAUUAAAGAUAGAAAAGAAGCUUCUUGAAUCUGCUGACAAAAAAUAGAACGUGCAGAUACUGAAUCAAGAAGUUGCCAAAGAAAAGAAGAGGAGCAAAAAAGAAAGUGAGCUGCUGCACACAUAUAAGCAAGAAACUGCUGAAAAAGAAAGAGAGCUGCUGCACACAUUGAAGCAAGAAAAAAAGAAAGAGAAGCAUACAGAGAAAAAUGGAAGCUGCCGAAAACAAAAGAAAAAAGGAAGAGAAGCAUGAAGAGAAAAAUGGAUCUCUUUUUUUACUUUAUACACAUCUCACAAUCAUUUAUCAAAACACAUAUCCCAUAUAACACUACAAAAUUUUAUUACAAAUUAUUAUUAUUAUUAUUAUUAUUAUUAUUAUUAUUAUUAUUAUUAUUAUUAUUAUUAUGUGUGUGUAUGUUUAUAUUUAUUAUAUUUAUUACCUUGGUUAACCAAAAAUGGGCGGCAGUGUUAAGGCAGCAGACAAGGAAUUAAAGCUUAAUCUUGAAAAUGCCUUGGAAAUUCAAAAGUGGGCGGCUAUGGGCGGCUGCACACUUAGAAUUCAUUUAGGCCGUGUUUGAAAACUUGGUUGCGAAAUGGCAAGUUACACAAACUCAAGGAAAUGUAACAAGAGUUGGGCUGGUUAUAUUGUAUUGACUGUGUAUUUGGUAGCAGAUGUUUAAAGGCGUGAAAAUAGAGUGCAGUUGUUUGCUCCGCUGCACUGGAGCUUCGAUCUCUCUGCUCGGGGGAAGCGACUUCUCUGGCAGCGGGGAAGCGAUCCCGCUGGAACCCGAUCCCGCUGUCGUCUCGAUCCCUCUGGCCUGGAGCUCCUUGAUUCCGCUGGCCUGGAAGCUCGGACUCGACUUCUCUGGCAGCGCGGACUCGAUCCCGCUGGCACCCGAUCCCGCUGGCACCCGAUCCCUCUGGCCUGGAGCUCCUUGAUUCCGCUGGCCUGGAAGCUCGGCUCCGCUGCACUGGAGACUCGAUUCCGCUGGCGCUCGUCGACUUCUCUGCUACUUCUUCACAAUUUGGGCUAAACAACUCUCAUCAAUGAAAGCAAGCUACAAGAGGUGAACCGUUGUGGUCUUUGGCCGGAUCAGAGAAAACCGCCCUAAUCUUGGCCGGAUCAGAGAAAUUCAACGGAAAGCAGCGGCGCGAGAUGGUUCCCAGCAAAUCAAAGCGGGUUUGAUUAGGAGUGCGCGAUCACAUGUAUGAUCGGAUGCGGAUUAAGGACUGUGCUGUGUAGAGGAAGAUUUACAAGCAAGCCAUGAGUACAAAACCUCUGUAGUCUGUACGUAUAGGCGAAUUACCAAAUUCUGGUAUCGCCAUUACAUUCAUGCGAAGAGGGGGUAAACUCUAGGGUUUCGAAUUUUAGUUGUCUCCCCCUCUGUAAAAUCAACUGCCACUCCCUCUGCAUAUGGCGAUAAUCAAACUUGUUUCAGCUUCGUAGCGGAAAAUUGAUUGGCUUUCCACUUGAGAUUUUGCGUCUUUGCUCAGAGUAGUUUGUACUAUUGCAUCUGCAUCAGAUAUCUCUACGUUCUAAUUUUGCUUACUAGUGCCGC